rnacentral:rRNA from 1 species
UACGUAGGGGGCAAGCGUUGUCCGGAAUCAUUGGGCGUAAAGCGUGAGUAGGUGGUUUGUUAAGUCUGUUGUGAAAGCCCCGGGCUCAACCUGGGAAUGGCAAUGGAUACUGGCAAGCUAGAGUGCGGUAGAGGGUAGUGGAAUUCCCGGUGUAGCGGUGAAAUGCGUAGAGAUCGGGAGGAACACCAGUGGCGAAGGCGGCUACCUGGACCAGCACUGACACUGAGGCACGAAAGCGUGGGGAGCAAACAGG